UUGCUAUUACAAUUUUCAAGCAACAUUCAAUGGUCUAGACUCUUCCCUUUUCCUUCUUCUUCAUCACAACAAUUUACUUCUAAACCAAAAAAGUUUCUUUGAUUUUUUUAUCUAUACACUUCUGUUAAAAAUCAAAAUUGCAUGUUCAUAUAUUGAUAUUGAACUUACAAUUUCUUUAAAUAUUAAUGUUUCAAAUAUUGGUUAGCAAUUUUGGGAUGCUACUAAGGUUAUGUAAAAGGUUGAUUUGUUGAAGAUAAAAAAAAAAUUGAAAAAUUAUUUCCGGAAUCUGAUUCUUCACUCAAAUUUAGCUCACUUACUUCAUCUUCAUCUGCAACUUUCGUUUAUCCAUAUUUUUCAGAGUUUUUCAAUGUGUCACGAGGAUCACAUAUGACAACAACAAUUGACGUACAGAAGUGCUCUAUAUAGAUGAAAACAAAUAAUUCGUUGCAUAUGCCAAACAAUAGAAGUGCUAUGUAUAUAUGAGCAUAAUUUAGAUGAUUCUAUGUUGUCUUGCUGA